UACGGAGGGGGCGAGCGUUAUUCGGAAUUAUUGGGCGUAAAGGGCGCGUAGGCGGCUUGAUGUGUCAAAGGUGAAAUCCCUCGGCUCAACUGAGGAACUGCCUUUGAAACUGUCUGGCUUGAGGCCGGGAGAGGGUAGCGGAAUUCCCAGUGUAGCGGUGAAAUGCGCAGAUAUCGGGAGGAACACCGGUGGCGAAGGCGGUUCUCUGGGCCUUACCUGACGCUGAGGAGCGAAAGCGUGGGGAGCGAACAGG
rnacentral:rRNA from 1 species